rnacentral:tRNA from 1 species
CGGAUAGAAGCCCGCUGGGUUGGGUGUUUAGCUGUUAACUAAUUUUUUUGUGGGAUCGAGGCCCACCUAUCUA